rnacentral:rRNA from 1 species
GCCUACGGGAGGCUGCAGUGGGGAAUCUUGCGCAAUGGGCGAAAGCCUGACGCAGCGACGCCGCGUGUGGGAUGACGGCCUUCGGGUUGUAAACCACUGUCGCGAGGGACGAAGAUCUGACGGUACCUCGAAAGGAAGCACCGGCUAACUCUGUGCCAGCAGCCGCGGUAAUACAGAGGGUGCGAGCGUUGUCCGGAAUCACUGGGCGUAAAGGGCGCGUAGGCGGCCUGAUAAGUAGGGGGUGAAAUCCUGGGGCUUAACCUCAGGGCUGCCUUCUAGACUGUCCGGCUCGAGCACAGUAGAGGCAGGUGGAAUUCCCGGUGUAGCGGUGGAAUGCGUAGAGAUCGGGAAGAACAUCGGUGGCGAAGGCGGCCUGCUGGGCUGUUGCUGACGCUGAGGCGCGACAGCGUGGGGAGCAAACAGGAUUAGAUACCCUGGUAGUC